GCUGUGGGCUGGGAGGCGAGUUUUGGAUGACAAGCUUGUAUUUGCAAAAGUACACACCCUGUGGGAGGUGCUCUGCACAUACGUUGAGAUACUGCACAUAAAAUUGCCUCUGAAGCCCAAUGAUCUGAAAACCCGGUCCUCAGCCUUUGAUAAUUUCAGCUGUUAUCUGAAAGUCCCCCAAGUGGAUGAAAGUAUCAUCAAGCUGGAGCAAGAGUUUUUCAUUUCCCUAUUUGAGAAGAGCUGCGUGAAUGACUUUUAUAUUCAGGAUAGAGAUACAUUCUUCAAUCCAGCCACCAGAAGCUGCAUUUGCAACUUCAGCCUCCAUCAGAGGACCUCAGCUGCCCCAGCAAACCAGGCCUUCUCUACAGGGAAUGGGCUCCUCCUCAAAGC